CUGGGUGUUAAAUUAUUUACAUUUCAAAACCCAUAAGCAGAAACAAUGACUGCAUUUCCAGAGCCUGCUCCUGCUGUCAAAUAUCCUUUUCUCUCCUGCAACCUAAUUUAGACUUCCUUUUUAGAGUCACAGUUUAGCUCCAUUCCCAAUUAUAUUAAAGGAACAAGAUUUCAGGUCAUUAUCUCAUCAUUUCCAUGAAUAGUGACAAAAGAUGUUCCCUGCAAAGGCAAAGAUAGCCGUCACAGUACCCGCUUACACAGUCGCCUGAGGACGGUGUUGCUCUGGCGCAGGGAAGCCGAACUGUCACAAAACCUGCAAGCGAGAGGUUGCAGCGGGACCGAUGCCCCGGGCCCAGCCGGGUGCCGGGGGACGCGGCUCCCCGAGCCUUGGGCCAUGGGGAAGGUGGUGGCUGGCAUGCAGUUUAAUAGCGAUUCCAGCCCUGCCUGCUUCAGGGCAACGCCUUAAAUAGCAUAAUGUAGAAAGUGCAAAUUUUUUCCUGCGGGAGUUAUUGAAGGUGGGGGCUUCUUGGCCAGGCCAGGAAGAAAAGGGACAAUUGGUGACCUUUUUGGCAGCCCACAGAAAUCAGCACGCGCCACGCCACAGCUUCCUUUCGGGUCCGGUUUCCAGUGGGCCACAGGUUUUGCCUGCCCCAAAGCCAGCUGAAGUCGGUGGAAACGCUCCCAGUGGCUUCAGCAGGCUCGAGCUCCGACUGCGGCUGCAGCUUUUUCAUCCAAGCUAUUAUGGAGGAUGAGAUGCGAAUAGGCAUUAACAGCUUUAUUGCUCCAUAAUACUAAAUGCACAGAUCCCGGCGAGCUGGUGAAAACCCGACAAAGGCAGCUGCAAACGAGAUGAAGCGCCGCAACGGCUCUCUGUACAGAGUUUCCCCCUUGCUGUGGCCCUGGGCACCCCUCCGCUGCUGCCACCACCCUGGGGACAGCUGUGGCCAAGGACCUGAAGGAAGAGAGACCAUUUCUGACCUGGAGCUGGCCAGCUCUUAUGGGACAGUUACAGGUUCGGGGGAGGCCAUCGCCGAGGACUAGAUACCCCUUGGAAAGUGCCCAGAGCUCCCCUGAACCCAGGGCUGUGUCCCAAAAUCUCAUUUCUUUUCCCUCUAGCCCAACUCAGUGAGAUAUUCUAUUUUUCCACAAGCAUUUCCUGCUAAUCAGACCAUUAGUACUUGUGCUGAUUAACCAGCUAGUUCUCAAUUUAAUUAAAACAUAGGUUUUUUUGAAGAGCCAGAAGUUUCAAUCAUAUUUUAUUCUGA
rnacentral:lncRNA from 1 species